rnacentral:rRNA from 1 species
GAUGAACGCUGGCGGCGUGCCUAAUACAUGCAAGUCGAGCGAAUGGAUUAAGAGCUUGCUCUUAUGAAGUUAGCGGCGGACGGGUGAGUAACACGUGGGUAACCUGCCCAUAAGACUGGGAUAACUCCGGGAAACCGGGGCUAAUACCGGAUAACAUUUUGAACCGCAUGGUUCGAAAUUGAAAGGCGGCUUCGGCUGUCACUUAUGGAUGGACCCGCGUCGCAUUAGCUAGUUGGUGAGGUAACGGCUCACCAAGGCAACGAUGCGUAGCCGACCUGGAGGGGUGAUCGGCCACACUGGGACGGGAACACGGCCCAAACUCCUACGGGAGGCAGCAGUAGGAAAUCUUCCGCAAUGGACGAAAGUCUGACGGAGCAACGCCGCGUGAGUGAUGAAGGCUUUCGGGUCGUAAAACUCUGUUGUUAGGGAAGAACAAGUGCUAGUUGAAUAAGCUGGCACCUUGACGGUACCUAACCAGAAAGCCACGGCUAACUACGUGCCAGCCGCCGCCGUAA